GACAGUCUAGAUCGCAUCGCGAUGGACGGUUAAGAUUCAUUUCUAAUUUAAUCGUGAUUGGACGGUGCAGAUAAAAUCGUGAUGGACGGCUCAGAUUAAAAGGGAAUAGUUAUAAAUAAUCUCAUCCACACCCAACCCCAAACUCUUGCCGGAGAAAACAGCCCAGCCACCGGAGGAACCGACUGUCGCCACACCGGGGCACUUUCCAGCAGCCAAACGAGGUAAAAUUUCUCCCCUUGGCUCGAAUUUCGAUGCUGAACCCCCUGUGGCCAAAUCGAAGCU
rnacentral:lncRNA from 1 species